GUGUUCACUUUGGCAAUACAUAUACUAAAAUUGAAAUGAUAUAGAGAAGAUUAGCUGGCUCCUGCAAAGGAUGAUAGGCAAAUUCGUGAAGCAUUCCAUAUUUUU